GAUGAACGCUGGCGGCGUGCUUAACACAUGCAAGUCGAACGAAGCACUUUAAUCGAUUUCUUCGGAUUGAAAUUUUAGUGACUGAGUGGCGGACGGGUGAGUAACGCGUGGGUAACCUGCCUCACACAGGGGGAUAACAGUUGGAAACGGCUGCUAAUACCGCAUAAGCGCACAGUACCGCAUGGUACGGUGUGAAAAACUCCGGUGGUGUGAGAUGGACCCGCGUCUGAUUAGCUAGUUGGCAGGGCAGCGGCCCACCAAGGCGACGAUCAGUAGCGGACCUGGGAGGGUGACCGGGCACAUUGGGACUGAGACACGGCCCAAACUCCUACGGGCGGUAGCAGUGGGGAAUAUUGCACAAUGGGGGAAACCCUGACGCGGCGACGCCGCGUGAGCGAAGAAGUAUUUCGGUAUGUAAAGCUCUAUCAGCAGGGAAGAAGAAAUGACGGUACCUGACUAAGAAGCACCGGCUAAAUACGUGCCAGCCGCCGCUGUAA
rnacentral:rRNA from 1 species